rnacentral:rRNA from 1 species
CAGUAGCCGCGGUAAUACGAGGGGGGCAAGCGUUGUUCGGAAUUAUUGGGCGUAAAGGGUGCGUAGGCGGUUUGACAAGUCUUAUGUGAAAUCUUUGGGCUCAACCCAAAGUCUGCAUGAGAAACUGUUGAGCUUGAGUAUGGGAGAGGUGAGUGGAAUUUCCGGUGUAGCGGUGGAAUGCGCAGAUAUCAGGAAGAACACCGAUGGCGAAGGCAGUUCUCUGGGCCGUAACUGACGCUGAGAAGCGAAAGCGUGGGGAGCGAACAGGAUUAGAUACCCGCGUAGUCCCUGUCUCUUAUAC